CCGGAAUUAUUGGGUUUAAAGGGUGCGUAGGCGGCCAUUUAAGUCGGCGGUGAAAUUUUGCAGCUUAACUGUAACAGUGCCGUUGAUACUGUUUGGCUAGGAUUUGGUUGUAGUGUGCGGAAUGUGUGGUGUAGCGGUGAAAUGCUUAGAUAUCACACAGAACACCGAUUGCGAAGGCAGCACACUAAGUCAUUAUUGACGCUGAGGCACGAAAGUGUGGGGAUCAAACAGGAUUAGAUACCCUGGUAGUCCACACUGUAAACGAUGAUAACUCGCUGUCGGCGAUACACAGUCGGUGGCCAAGCGAAAGCAUUAAGUUAUCCACCUGGGGAGUACGACCGCAAGGUUGAAACUCAAGGGAAUUGACGGGGGCCCGCACAAGCGGAGGAACAUGUGGUUUAAUUCGAUGAUACGCGAGGAACCUUACC
rnacentral:rRNA from 1 species